rnacentral:antisense_RNA from 1 species
AAAAGCACGACAUUGCUCACAUUGCUUCCAAUAUUUUUAGCCAGCACGGGUGCUGGCUUUUUUUU